CAGCCUUAUUAAAAUCGAACUUGUUGGAAAAUUCCUCAUGGCCUUCCAUAGAGCAGAAUUAUGGUCUUGGUCAUCACUGCUCACUGAGUUCCUUAGAAGCAGAAGACAAUGACCGUCUCUUCCCCUGCGCUCAGCGGGCACAGUACUUGCCUAGAGCACUGUCACCUCCUGACGAGCAUGGCUUGGUUUGCUCCAGUCCKGUAAAAUAUGCCAGAAAAGAUUCUCGGAAUACAUCUAAUGCCUCUAACUCAAACUCAAGUGUCAGUACCUCAAGUCCAUUAAGAAAACCCUCUGGAGUUUCAUGCAGUUGCUCCACUGAUAGUUUUGUCGGCAUCGGUCAUUCUCAGAGGCGUCAAGAAACUAACUCCAAAGUAUACAGCAG
rnacentral:lncRNA from 1 species